GUGACUCGACAAAAGGCCAGUUCUGAGUUUUUAUAUGGUUCCUGCAGCAACAUCUUCCCUGAAUGUAUCUAUUAGGGGGGAGUCGGAGCCAGUGCCCGACCUGGUACCGGUUUUUUGUCUUUCCACCACCGGAGCUGCGGCUCCGGGCUCCAAAAACUGGGGCUUUUUCGGGCACCAACUCGUUGCUGGGCCAGAGUUGGCCAGAGUUGAGAACUGAGCAUUUCACGGGCAGGGGGCGGGGAUGCGGUCACCGACAAUCAACGGUGAAAACACCGAAGUGCCAUUUUUAAACAGCCGAGUGAGUAGUAGUAAUGCUUAGUGUUUGUGUUUUGUAAACCAGUAAAUAUAGAUGCCAAAUCCAAGCAGCAGCACUCUGAGGAAGAAAUCCAGUGCUUCCUAGCACUGUGGUCUUCAUAUGAAAUUCAGUCGAGGGUAGAGGGACCACACCGGUGUUCGAAACGAUCCAGCGGGAGAUGGCUGCAGCCGGUACGAGCGGAGCCUUGACUAACUCCUCAACAAAAUUAAAAAGCUUUAAAAUGACUACAGGGACCAGAAAGGGGAGCUGGGAUGCAGCAGUUGUCGGCCAAAAAGAGCCCCCAUUUUGACCCGCUGCAUUCCGUGAUUCCAGCCGGGUCCCUGAACGCCACAUCGGAGCUGGAGUUGAUGCAGGCCGCCAUACAGACCACUGAUCCUGAUCCUGGAAAAAGGAAGUGGGAUGCUGCUGUAGAUCUGCUGCAGUAUCUGGAGAGGUCAGAGGAACGGUUCUUGGAACAGAUCAGAAGACACCAAGACCUGACCACUGCCAUGCUCCAGAAUAUCCAGGGACCAAGACCUGACCACUGCCAUGCUCCAGAAUAUCCAGGGACCAAGACCUGACCACUGCCAUGCUCCAGAAUAUCCAGGGACCAAGACCUGACCACUGCCAUGCUCCAGAACAUUCAGAAGACGGAUGAAAAUUCAAACACCUUGGUUGGACUGAUGGGACGUACGGUGUCAGUGCUGGAGCAACUGUCCCAGAAAUAAACUGCAUUGUCCACUACUUCUGCCUUUUCUAGAAAAAAAAAUCUUUUUUUGUAAAUUCUUUUCCUUCUUAGCUAUUUAAGUUCACUUGUAUUUUACUCUUGCACUUUGGGUGAAUAAAAAUAUAUUUGUGAUGAACGAUGC
ensembl:lncRNA